CCCCCCCAGCUCGCAAUCCGUUUUCCGAACCCGCUUCGCCGUUCCUCACGUCGCCGAUUCAGGGACUGGACGCCUGGUGCCGCCCGCCGCAAGCUGCUGGCCAGCCCCUCCGUCGAUCCCACGAUUCAAGAUUGUGGCCUCCUAGGUCAUUAACCUCCGUCCAGAUCUGCUUCGCCCGUUCCUAGCUCCCUCCGGGCUCCGGCCACCGCCCGUCCUUCUGUCGCCGCCGCCCCUCGCUUUUCUCCGUGCAAGUCAACGCCCAGCCAGAUGCCGCAACAGCCCGCCGGCGCAAGGGGCAGAGCAUCACCCGUCCGAUUCACCGUGCCCCGAAACAGCUUACGAGGUUCUCCACUGUGGUGGGUCGCAAACAGAGGUGCCUGCGGCGUGAUGACUAGGAAUGCGGCCAUAAUGCGUCAUGUUGAGGAUUUUGGCAGAGGAUGCCUGCUGGACCUCUCGCCUCUUUCUGGGCCAAGCCAGCAUCGCUGUGAAGUCACUGUGACCUAAGGCAGCUGGGGUGAUCCCCUGGAACUCACAUCCCAUGGAGAAGCAGUGAUGGAUGGACAUGGCUAGUUAUUGAUGGAAUUGCAGAUCGGGUGUCUGGAGGUUGACUGGAUCGACCCUAGUGCUGAUGCCAAUUUCCAAUCAACGAGCUGUGGCAAUGAGCAUACUUGCAGCAACGUGCCAUGGUGCCCCCAAUCUCUGCUGCCUUCAACCCGAACAGGCCCUGCAGAGCAUCUUCUGUCCAGGUGCUCGCCGCCAGGAGCCCAUGACCAUCAUCUUGCGAAACAUCAGGCAUCACCCAGCUUGGGAUUAGGUCGGUUUAGCUCCUCCCAUCGCCGGUGCUCCUCCGGCGCUUCGUGAUGCCGCUCCAUCCUCCCAUCGCUCCUAGGAGAGUACCUUCCGAUGGUGCAGGAUCAUGCGAUUAGAUCCUAGAGAAGCAAGCGCAGCACCCUUAUAACGAGUUUAAAAUUAUGUUUGAUUCAAAUUUCUUUUAGGGGUUCAUGUCGCUGCGGGAUUUCGAUUCUUUUGUUCCAUUGGUCAAUGGGUGUCGUGGCUGACUCCUGGUUCCUACUUCAAGGAGGAUCUGUUAGGGCUGCUACUGUGGUGGAUGGAUUGCUCGAUUCAUACGCCUCAUAUGAAUUCAGCUGAUAGUUUGCCUAUUUUUUAUCUUGUAUAUGUCUGAGUCUGGGUCAUGCUUGCUAUCGCCAUGGAGUUUUAUUAAGGAAACUUUUUUCGUUCUCUAUUUUUCAUAUGGACGGAUAGGUGCUGCUGCAAUCGAGACCGAGUACAUGUUGUAUGGACGAUUGAGCAACCACAUUGCAAUCCAUUUCGGUCGAUGGUGUCCCAAUCCAUGGGGAUCCUGUCCACUCCAUCCUGCAUCAACAGACACAAGGUAUUCAGGAUCCCUCCAAUCGUCAUCAAUUUUUUUAUGAGUCAUCUCAAAGCCUGGACACCUCUGAAAACAACCACGGGCGUGGAAUUGUAAGCUCGAUGUGAGCAAAACUUCUGCAAGCUCCUCCUUAGUCACAAAUAGUUUAUGCUGAUUAAAAAAAUAAAUCAGUAACUUAAUUAAUCCUGUGCAGCACGCAAUCAACUGAACAACCAUGUGCAAGUGUUUUCUAGCAUAUGAAUAUGAACGAAGUUCUUUUUUUUUUUGCACUAGGUAUUAAUAAUUCUGAUUCCUGAUGUAUGAUCAGGUCAUACUGUUGGUUGUUGAAGGUGACAUUGCGGUGAACUCUGUUCUGUCCACUGUGCCAGCUUGCUAGCUAUGCUCUUUCAACCUGAGUCCACACUUUAGUCUAGUGAUCAUAUUAGUUCUAAUAGUUAAACUUGGCUUAUUUGCAUUCUUUAAAUUUUCAAGGACAUUAAAAUUGGAUUCCUAUUUGGUUCAAGAAGGUUCUCCGAAAUAAAUUCUACAUUUUCUUUGCUAGAUAAAAUAGUGGUGUUUACAAUCGUGGCAGUCAAUAAAUGAUACUAUUCCAACCGUGCACGAUAUUAUUGAACAGCUAUCCAUAUGCAUGCUUAUGUAUUCUGAAAUUUCAGUAUCCAAUUAUGCAUGCCACUUUGCUUGCUACAAGAACAUUUAUAUAUUGCUCAGAUGCUUAUCUUUGAAUACGAACAUCAUUGUAAUUUGUAUCUUUUGUCAAUUUGAUGCACGCCUCAUUAUUGCAAUUUUCUGCCAUAUAUUGUCAAUUUGAUAACUCACUGUCCAACAUUUUGACCAUGCACUAAUGUCCAGCCCACUGCCUUAUCUAUGUUCGUGUAAACCCUAGCAUGCAAGGUAUGCAUGAAGCCUCAUCAGCCAUGACACUAUUUUUGGUUGGUAAUCUGACAUGUUCUGUAUCUUUGGGUUGCUGUGAGAUGGAUUGCCCCCCCCCCCCUCAAAAUGCACUCCUGUAUCCAUGAAAGCAAAGAAUUCAAACCUAAAGCUGCUUGUUUCUUCCAAUUCCAAUUCGGGAUGCUUGCUUCUUCACAUCUUUAGUCUCAUUUCAGGAUGAUUGCUGGUGGGGUCUCUAUAUCUUAAUUGAUAUAUAUAUAUAUGGAAAGAACAAGUUCUUUAUUAAUUAAUUAGCUUAACCAUGCGUAUCAAGUGUGAACGACAUUUUUUUCUUACACUUCUCCUGCUGAUUUGGACUGAAUAAUUUGUUGACAAAUUCCUAAUCUGCAGCCAGUUCGUGCACCUGAGUGUAUCCUGUCUAUGAGGUUUGUUGCAACACAAUUCGAAUCUACUCCUUAAUAUUUGUUUUGCUCUUAUAUAAUGUGUAUAGGCUCUCUUUAACCUGCAUAUACUAAUAAUUCUUAGCUCUUAUGCAGAUUGCAAUAUGCAUGCUGGUUGCCUGCACGUGAGAUGGUUAAUUGGCAUUUUCAUAUUUGUUUUGUGAUAAGAGAACUAAUUUGGGGCUAGUUUGCAUAGAAUUGAAAUUUUUAUGAUCGCACAUGGUUCAACGACAAGUCUUUGUUUGAUAGAAAAUGGUUACGGUCUUACUCAAUGACCUGAACAAUCAUCCCAACUGGAAUUAAUAUAUUUUCCUUCUCUAGAAUGAGAAUAUCUGUUUUGA